rnacentral:rRNA from 1 species
GAUGAACGCUGGCGGCGUGCCUAAUACAUGCAAGUCGAGCGAACAGACGAGGAGCUUGCUCCUCUGACGUUAGCGGCGGACGGGUGAGUAACACGUGGAUAACCUACCUAUAAGACUGGGAUAACUUCGGGAAACCGGAGCUAAUACCGGAUAAUAUAUUGAAUCGCAUGGUUCAAUAGUGAAAGACGGUUUUGCUGUCACUUAUAGAUGGAUCCGCGCCGCAUUAGCUAGUUGGUAAGGUAACGGCUUACCAAGGCAACGAUGCGUAGCCGACCUGAGAGGGUGAUCGGCCACACUGGAACUGAGACACGGUCCAGACUCCUACGGGAGGCAGCAGUAGGGAAUCUUCCGCAAUGGGCGAAAGCCUGACGGAGCAACGCCGCGUGAGUGAUGAAGGUCUUCGGAUCGUAAAACUCUGUUAUUAGGGAAGAACAAAUGUGUAAGUAACUAUGCACGCCUUGACGGUACCUAAUCAGAAAGCCACGGCUAACUACGUG